rnacentral:rRNA from 1 species
GAUGAACGCUGGCGGCGUGCCUAAUACAUGCAAGUCGAGCGAACAGACGAGGAGCUUGCUCCUCUGACGUUAGCGGCGGACGGGUGAGUAACACGUGGAUAACCUACCUAUAAGACUGGGAUAACUUCGGGAAACCGGAGCUAAUACCGGAUAAUAUAUUGAACCGCAUGGUUCAAUAGUGAAAGACGGUUUUGCUGUCACUUAUAGAUGGAUCCGCGCCGCAUUAGCUAGUUGGUAAGGUAACGGCUUACCAAGGCAACCAUGCGUAGCCGACCUGAGAGGGUGAUCGGCCACACUGGAACUGAGACACGGUCCAGACGCCUACGGGAGGCAGCAGUAGGGAAUCUUCCGCAAUGGGCGAAAGCUUGACGGAGCAACGCCGCGUGAGUGAUGAAGGUCUUCGGAUCGUAAAACUCUGUUAUUAGGGAAGAACAAAUGUGUAAGUAACUAUGCACGUCUUGACGGUACCUAAUCAGAAAGCCACGGCUAACUACGUG